rnacentral:rRNA from 2 species
ACGAACGCUGGCGGCGUGCCUAAUACAUGCAAGUCGAACGCUUCUUUUCCCACCGGAGCUUGCUCCACCGGGAAAAGAGGAGUGGCGAACGGGUGAGUAACACGUGGGUAACCUGCCCAUCAGAAGGGGAUAACACUUGGAAACAGGUGCUAAUACCGUAUAACAAUCGAAACCGCAUGGUUUCGUUUUGAAAGGCGCUUUACGGUGCCGCUGAUGGAUGGACCCGCGGUGCAUUAGCUAGUUGGUGAGGUAACGGCUCACCAAGGCCACGAUGCAUAGCCGACCUGAGAGGGUGAUCGGCCACAUUGGGACUGAGACACGGCCCAAACUCCUACGGGAGGCAGCAGUAGGGAAUCUUCGGCAAUGGACGAAAGUCUGACCGAGCAACGCCGCGUGAGUGAAGAAGGUUUUCGGAUCGUAAAACUCUGUUGUUAGAGAAGAACAAGGGUGAGAGUAACUGUUCACCCCUUGACGGUAUCUAACCAGAAAGCCACGGCUAACUACGUGCCAGCAGCCGCGGUAAUACGUAGGUGGCAAGCGUUGUCCGGAUUUAUUGGGCGUAAAGCGAGCGCAGGCGGUUUCUUAAGUCUGAUGUGAAAGCCCCCGGCUCAACCGGGGAGGGUCAUUGGAAACUGGGAGACUUGAGUGCAGAAGAGGAGAGUGGAAUUCCAUGUGUAGCGGUGAAAUGCGUAGAUAUAUGGAGGAACACCAGUGGCGAAGGCGGCUCUCUGGUCUGUAACUGACGCUGAGGCUCGAAAGCGUGGGGAGCAAACAGGAUUAGAUACCCUGGUAGUCCACGCCGUAAACGAUGAGUGCUAAGUGUUGGAGGGUUUCCGCCCUUCAGUGCUGCAGCUAACGCAUUAAGCACUCCGCCUGGGGAGUACGACCGCAAGGUUGAAACUCAAAGGAAUUGACGGGGGCCCGCACAAGCGGUGGAGCAUGUGGUUUAAUUCGAAGCAACGCGAAGAACCUUACCAGGUCUUGACAUCCUUUGACCACUCUAGAGAUAGAGCUUCCCCUUCGGGGGCAAAGUGACAGGUGGUGCAUGGUUGUCGUCAGCUCGUGUCGUGAGAUGUUGGGUUAAGUCCCGCAACGAGCGCAACCCUUAUUGUUAGUUGCCAUCAUUUAGUUGGGCACUCUAGCAAGACUGCCGGUGACAAACCGGAGGAAGGUGGGGAUGACGUCAAAUCAUCAUGCCCCUUAUGACCUGGGCUACACACGUGCUACAAUGGGAAGUACAACGAGUCGCGAAGUCGCGAGGCUAAGCUAAUCUCUUAAAGCUUCUCUCAGUUCGGAUUGUAGGCUGCAACUCGCCUACAUGAAGCCGGAAUCGCUAGUAAUCGCGGAUCAGCACGCCGCGGUGAAUACGUUCCCGGGCCUUGUACACACCGCCCGUCACACCACGAGAGUUUGUAACACCCGAAGUCGGUGAGGUAACCUUUUUGGAGCCAGCCGCCUAAGGUGGGAUAGAUGAUUGGGGUGAAGUCGUAACAAGGUAGCCGUAUCGGAAGGUGCGGCUG